rnacentral:lncRNA from 1 species
UAACUCCAAUAUUGAUGGAUUGUCUUUAAGCAAGGGAAGAAGCUGGAUAGAACUUCUGGCUGAUGCAGGGGAAGGUGAAUGAACAUGACAGGAUGUCUGGAGCCACGGCCUGGGAGGACAUAAAGCACAGCAACAGGGAACCUUGGAGACAAGACCAGCAAACUUACAGAUGGGCUGCUUGUGGAGAAGAUGUACUUUGAGGAAAACGGAUGGAAGCAGAAAUUAUCAUCAUGUUAAGCCAAGAGGACCAGACUCAAAAAGAC